rnacentral:rRNA from 1 species
UACGUAGGGGGCAAGCGUUGUCCGGAAUUAUUGGGCGUAAAGAGCGCGUAGGCGGUCCGAUAAGUCGGCUGUGAAAGUCAAGGGCUCAACCCUUGAAAGCCGGCCGAUACUGUCGGACUAGAGUCCGGAAGAGGCGAGUGGAAUUCCCGGUGUAGCGGUGAAAUGCGCAGAUAUCAGGAGGAACACCGGUGGCGAAGGCGGGUCUCUGGGCCGAUAUUGACGCUGAGGAGCGAAAGCGUGGGGAGCAAACAGG